CCUACGGGGGGCUGCAGUGGGGAAUAUUGGACAAUGGGGGCAACCCUGAUCCAGCCAUGCCGCGUGUGUGAAGAAGGCCCUCGGGUUGUAAAGCACUUUCAUGGAGGAAGAACGCCUGGUGGUUAAUACCCAUCAGGAAAGACAUCACUCACGGAAGAAGCACCGCCUAACUCCGUGCCAGCAGCCGCGGUAAUACGGAGGGUGCGAGCGUUAAUCGGAAUUACUGGGCGUAAAGCGCGCGUAGGUGGCUUGAUAAGCCGGUUGUGAAAGCCCCGGGCUCAACCUGGGAACGGCAUCCGGAACUGUCAAGCUAGAGUGCAGGAGAGGAAGGUAGAAUUACCGGUGUAGCGGUGAAAUGCGUAGAGAUCGGGAGGAAUACCAGUGGCGAAGGCGGCCUUCUGGACUGACACUGACACUGAGGUGCGAAAGCGUGGGUAGCAAACAGGAUUAGAUACCCGUGUAGUC
rnacentral:rRNA from 1 species